UAUUCUUUGCUUUUGAUUGAUGAUUUUUCGAGGUCUGCUUGGACCUUCUCUCUGAAAACGAAAGGGAGGCGGCUAAAAUGAUCAGGGAUUGGAUCACCGCAGUUGAGGUAACCUUUUCCACCAAAGUUCGUGGUUUUCAAAGUGACAGAGGUGCUGAAUUCACUGGUUCUGCUUUACAGGAUUUCUUUAGGGAGAAGGGGAUUAGCCACAGACUGACCGCUCCUUACUCUCCGCAACAGAAUGGGGUCGCAGAGAGAAAGAACAGGACGGUGCAGGAAGCUGUGUCUGCGAUCCUGUGGGACGCAGGGCUACCCCAGAAGUUUUGGUCGGAGGCCUGGAGAUAUGUGGUCCAUACCGAGAACAGAGUGUACAACUCUAGUGUAGGAAAUACACCGUAUUUCUUACUUCAUGGAAGGAAGCCCAAGGUACACUACCUUCGUGUGUUUGGUUGUGAGGCUUGGGUGCUUAUUCCAAAGGCUCUACGCAAGAAAGGUGAGCCAAGAUCUAAAAGAAUGAUCUUUGUAGGGUAUGAGCCUGGCUCAAAGGCCUGGAGGUUUGCGUACCCAAGUGGAGACCAGUCUAGGUUGGUUAUCAGCAAUAGCGCUGAGUUCUGUGAGCAAGCUGGUUGGAAACGUCUGCACGCUAAUCCAGACGUGCUUCCACAGCAGUUCUAUGACUCAGACGAGGAGGAGGAGGAACUUGGAGCUGGGGACCACGGUCCAGAGGGACAGAGUCCAAGGCAGGGACAGCUCAGGAUCCCUCAGAGGGGGGAACCUAGAACACCUCCUCAGGCAAGUGUCAAGUUUGAGCCAAAGAGUGAGCCUUCUUCACCUGCUGGACCAGCUGUAAGGCCCAAGAGGCGCAGCAGGUCAGAGGGGGAAGACACUGAAGUUGAGGAUGAUUUAGCUGGACCCAGUGAAGCGGCAGGGUCACCAGGAGUCACACUGAGGAGAUCAGCGAGGACAAGGAGGCCUCCUGAUCGGUACGACGCUUCAGGCGUCUGGGUAGGUUCUGCAAGAUGUGAACCUGAAUCCUUCGAGGAUAUUCAGAGUUUACCUGAGGAAGAAGCAGGCAAGUGGCACAGGGCAAUGGACAAAGAGAUGAAGUCCAUGAAAGAUCUAGGUGUGUUCUCACUCACAGAGUUGCCACCGGGGAAGCAGGCUGUGAGUUCCAGAUGGGUUUACCGCUUGAAACCCACUGACGCUGGAGAGCCGCAGUAUAAAGCCAGGUUAGUUGCUCGAGGAUUUACUCAGAGGAAGGGAAUACACUUCACGGAGGUGUAUUCGCCAACGUCACGAGCGGAGACUCUGAGAACGCUUUUAGCUUGUGCAGCACAGAGAGGCUGGAAGGUAAACCACUUUGAUGUGGAUGUUGCCUACCUUAACUCAGAUCUCCAGGAGGAGCUGUACAUGAUUCCUCCUCCGGGGUUUGAGAACUCAAGGCAGGAUGUUGUGUGGAGAUUGCACAAAUCCAUCUAUGGAUUACGUCAAUCUGCUAGAAACUGGAACAUGUGCCUGAAUGAAGCUUUGGAGAAGCUAGGUUUCAGGAAGAGUCUUGCUGAUAGUUGCCUGUUCCUUAGAGGAUCAGGAGACUCACAGGAACUGGUGCUGAUUUGGGUUGAUGACGUGCUUUUCGUCUCAGAAACAGAUGAACAGGCGGAGAAGUUUGCCAAAGAGCUAGGUAAACGAUUCAAGCUUAAACAGCUUGGUGCUGUCAAAACCUAUCUAGGUGUCAAUGUUGAGCGUGCACAGGAUGGAAGUUUUUGCUCAGCCAGAGAGGUAAAAUUGAGCAUCUGCUUCAGAAGUUCAGGAUGAGUGAUUGUGCAGGAGUGAGAAGUCCUAUGGAGACUAGUUUUGUGAAGGACAGCCAGCAAGCAGAACGCGCUGCGUUCGAAAAUACUGAAGUGUUUCAGUCAGCCCUAGGGAGUUUGUUGUACUUGUCCCAGUGGAGCAGACCUGAUAUAGCGUUUGCUGUCAAUCUGCUCAGCAGGGAAGCAUCAAACCCUAGUGUGCAAGCCUGGAAUGGCAUCAAGAGAGUUCUGAGGUAUUUGCAGGAGACCAAAGACUUUUGUCUUAGGUUGCCAGCACAAGGAGAAGUGAAACUGACUUGCUUUGUGGACUCGGAUUGGGCUAAUCUUGAGGAUCGCAAGUCUGUGUCUGGCCUAGUGGUGAAGUUUGGGAACUCAGUAGUUGGAUGGAGGUCCAAGAAGCAAAGUCUGAUAGCGCUCUCAUCCACUGAGGCUGAGUUUAGUGCUCUUUCAGAGGUGUGCAGAGAAGUAGAGUUCUAUGCUUGUUUGGUGCAGGAACUCUGCGAAGUGGAUUGUCUGCCGAUACGUGUUUUCGAGGACAAUCAACCAUGCCUGCGUUUGGCAGAGUCAGGUCAGUUCAAGGCCAGAACUAAACACCUAGACAUUCGCUUCGGAAUGUGUGCCAGAGUGUUCAGGAGGGAUUAGUUGCGCUGAAGUAUUGUCCCUCUGCCAAGAACCUAGCUGAUGGGUUCACGAAGCCACUCACCUUCCAAAGACAUGGAGAGUUUUGUGAAGGUCUGGGUUUGGGACGACCAAGGGUCGAUUCUCCCCUCAGGCGCGAGACAAGAGGGGGUGUUGGGUGUAGUGAAGGGUUAACCUUCUGUGUCUCGAGGCUGAGAGGAGGCGCUUACAAGGGAAGUAAGCCAGGACGUGACGAAGCAGCUUGGAAUGCUGUGAGCUGAGUGAAAAGUGAAAGCAGCUUUGCUACGCAGCUGCUGAGAGAGAGACGCAGAAAUGCAACUUGAAUCAGAUGGUGUAUAUGAACUGUAAAUAUGCUAUUUCUGAGCAAAUAAAGUGCUA
rnacentral:lncRNA from 1 species